rnacentral:rRNA from 1 species
GACGAACGCUGGCGGCGUGCCUAACACAUGCAAGUCGAGCGAACGGACGAGACUCUUGUUUGGCGGAUGAUUGCGGCGGACGUGUGAGUAACACGUAGAUAAUCCACCUAUAUUUCUGGUAUAACUUGGGAAAACGGGAUCUAAUACCGUAUAAUAUUUUGAACCGCUUGGUUCAAAAGUGAAAGACGGUCUUGCUGUCGCUUGUAGAUGCAUCCGCGCUGCCUUGGCUAGUUGGUAAGGUCACGGCUUACCAAGGCAACGAUGCAUAGCCGACCUGAGAGGGUGAUCGGGCGCACUGGAACUGAGACACGGUCCUGCGUCCUACGGGAGGCAGCAGUAGGGAAUCGUCCGCAAUGGGCGAAAGCCUGACGGAGCGACGCCGCGUGGGUGAUGAAGGUCUUGGGAUCGUAAAGCUGUGUUAUUAGGGCAGAACAGAUGUGUAAGUAACUGUGGACAUCGUGACGGUACCUGGUCAAAAAGCCACGGCUAACUACGUG